UACGUAGGGGGCAAGCGUUGUCCGGAAUCAUUGGGCGUAAAGCGCGUGUAGGCGGCUAGCUAAGUCCGCUCUGAAAGCCCGGGGCUCAACCCCGGGAGGCGGGUGGAUACUGGUCAGCUCGAGUCCGGAAGAGGAGUGUGGAAUUCCUGGUGUAGCGGUGAAAUGCGCAGAUAUCAGGAGGAACACCAAUGGCGAAGGCAGCACUCUGGGACGGUACUGACGCUGAGACGCGAAAGCGUGGGGAGCAAACAGG
rnacentral:rRNA from 1 species